rnacentral:rRNA from 1 species
GACAGAGGGGGCAAGCGUUGCUCGGAAUUACUGGGCGUAAAGGGCGCGUAGGCGGGCUGCCGCGUCCGGGGUGAAAUCCCACGGCUCAACCGUGGAACGGCCCCGGGUACGGGCGGCCUCGAGGGGGGUAGGGGCGUGCGGAACUGUGGGUGGAGCGGUGAAAUGCGUUGAUAUCCACAGGAACUCCGGUGGCGAAGGCGGCACGCUGGACCCCUUCUGACGCUGAGGCGCGAAAGCCAGGGGAGCGAACGGG